GGAUGUGAGGGCAAUCUGACUGUGACAUCUGAUGCCCCGUUGUUCACCAGCAUUGAUUGGCUGAUCUGGCUGGCUAAGCAGGGUUCUUUUCCUCACUCAUUGCUCUUUGUGUGUUUUUUCCUGAAACUGGGUACUUGGUCAAAGAGGAGCACUGAUAGAGGAGGACCAUUUCCUUGGUCAUGAGUAUCUGAGUGGCUGUAGUCCUCUAGUAGCUAAAACCUCCAAAGAAGCUCCUAAAUAUCAAUGUCUUUGUGGAGGUUUUCAUAGAGUACUUCAUUCUAUACAUAAUAAUAUAGUAUUGUUCCUAUGUACUACAAUAA
rfam:Cavia porcellus supercont2_16 genomic scaffold, whole genome shotgun sequence.